UGCCAGCAGCCGCGGUAAUACGAAGGGACCUAGCGUAGUUCGGAAUUACUGGGCUUAAAGAGUUCGUAGGUGGUUAAAAAAGUUGAUGGUGAAAUUCCAAGGCUCAACCUGGGAACUGCCAUCAAAACUUUUUAGCUAGAGUAUGAUAGAGGAAAGUGGAAUUUCUAGUGUAGAGGUGAAAUUCGUAGAUAUUAGAAAGAACAUCAAAAGCGAAGGCAACUUUCUGGAUCAUUACUGACACUGAGGAACGAAAGCAUGGGUAGCGAAGAGGAUUAGAUA
rnacentral:rRNA from 1 species